CCUGUCCCCAGAGACAUUGCAGGUAUUACUGCUGUGUCACACAUACAUCAGUAGUUGUCAGAGAGGAGAGAAGCCAUGUUUGCACUCAGUGUUCAGACCUUUGAACACCUACUCCCUGAGAAAGGUAAGUCUGA
ensembl:snoRNA LOC120103342 small nucleolar RNA SNORA17